GACUCUUGUCAAUGGCAAACAGUGGACCUGGAACAAAUGGCUGUCAGUUUUUUAUUACCUGCACAAAGUGUGAUUGGUUGGAUGGGAAGCACGUGGUAUUUGGAAAAGUGGUGGAUGGUUUGCUUGUCAUGAGAAAAAUUGAGGUAAGACAUUAUUUUUCAAGUUUUGUACAUUUCAGAUGUUCUCAAGUGUCAGUUCUUUCAGAGCAAUUUAUUAUUGAUCCUAUUGAUGAUUGAUCCAUUAACUUGGGUGGCAAGUUGGAGAUCUGCCAUGCUUAAAGCAUAUGAAGAAAUGUUUGUCAACAUCUACGUAAGAGUCUGAGAGAAUUCCUUAUGAUGAGAUGGAAUUCUCAGACUUUUCAGUAUUGGUUUCUUUGAAAGAUCAACUACUAAAACAUCAUGAAAAUGUUGAAGAAACA